rnacentral:lncRNA from 1 species
AUGAAACUUUGAGUAAAAUAUAUAUUUAUCAGUCUAGUAUAAAAUAGGAAGGAACGCAAUACCAAUUUCAUUUUUAAUAAUUCCUUGAUAUGAAAAAACGUUACCUGAUGAUAGCGUUUCUUUGUUUACAUUGCAUAUGACGUCAUAACUUAAAUAACGUCACAACUAAAAUCCCUAACAACAGAACCAAAAUCGGAAACGUUACGGUAUUUC